GCUUGUGUGGCUCAGUGGAUAGAGCGUCAGCCUCUGGACUGAAGGGUCCCAGGUUCGAUUCUGGUCAAGGGCA
rnacentral:tRNA from 1 species